rnacentral:lncRNA from 1 species
AAUACACGAACUAUUUUCAAAUUUGCAUAUUGCACAUCACCUUCAAAAAUAGCCUCACAAUACAUCACCUUUUAAUUUUAUCGUAAAUUGCACACGGUGAAAGUUCCGGCAAUUCUUAAGUUUGACCGGCGAUGACGUGGACAAUAUUUAACAUUACAUGGCAUUCCUCGUGGCUUUUUUUACACGCUGGCAAGCCACGUAAGCAAAACGACGUCGUUUUGCUAUUUUGAAGAAUUAAAAAAAAAAUCCUUACUUUUCCGGCGAGCCAUUCCAGAAUCCGGCGAGCCAUCACCAUUUUCAGAAUCCGGCAAGCCACUGUUUUCCCUCACCUCCACCUUAACCACCACCACAAAAAUCUCCACCACAAAAAUCAAAGAAAUCAAACAUCAAAGAAAUCAAAGAAAUCUCCACCGCCCCUUCGAGCAUCUGCAACUCCGACGCCGACGCAGCAGCAGACCGGCGCCCACCACAGCCUCCCUCUCCCCUGCAAUUCCGACGUCGGACGCCGCCCCUCGUCUCUCAUUCUAACUCAAAACACCAAAACCCC